AUUGAACGCUGGCGGCAGGCUUAACACAUGCAAGUCGAGCGGGUGGCGGCCGGGUGAGUAAUGCAUGGGAAUCUUGCUUAUGGAGGGGGAUAACUACGGGAAACUGUAGCUAAUACCGCGUACCAUAGGCUGAGCCCAAGUGGGAUUAGGUAGUUGGUGAGGUAAAGGCUCACCAGGCCGACGAUCUAUACCUGGUCUGAGAGGAUGACCAGCCACACUGGGACUGAGACACGGCCCAGACUCCGACGGGAGGCAGCAGUGGGGAAUAUUGCGCAAGGGGGGCAAGCUGAUGCAGCCAUGCCGCGUGAAUGAAGAAGGCCGUCGGGUUGUAAAGUUCUUUCGGUAGCGAGGCGUUAACUACAGAAGAAGCACGGGCUAACUCCGUGCCAGCCGCCGCGGUAAUUC
rnacentral:rRNA from 1 species